rnacentral:rRNA from 1 species
GCAUAACGCGAAGAACCUUACCUAGGCUUGACAUGCAUCUCUAAGCGCGUGAAAGCGCGUGACCCUUCGGGGGAUUUGCACAGGUGCUGCAUGGCCGUCGUCAGCUCGUGUCGUGAGAUGUUGGGUUAAGUCCCGCAACGAGCGCAACCCUUGUGAACAGUUGCCAGCACUUAAGGUGGGAACUCUGUUCAGACUGCCCAGAUCAACUGGGAGGAAGGUGGGGACGACGUCAGGUCAGUAUGGCCCUUACGCCUAGGGCUGCACACGUACUACAAUGCCCAGCACAAUGAGAACCGAGACCGCGAGGUGGAGGAAAUCUAAAAAACUGGGCCCAGUUCGGAUUGGAGGCUGCAACUCGCCUCCAUGAAGUUGGAAUCGCUAGUAAUGGCACAUCAGCUACGGUGCCGUGAAUACGUUCCCGGGUCUUGUACACACCG